UACGUAGGGACCAAGCGUUGUUCGGAUUUACUGGGCGUAAAGGGCGCGUAGGCGGCCAGUGCAAGUCAGUUGUGAAAUCUCCGAGCUUAACUCGGAAAGGUCAACCGAUACUGCGGGGCUAGAGUGCAGAAGGGGCAACUGGAAUUCUCGGUGUAGCGGUGAAAUGCGUAGAUAUCGAGAGGAACACCUGCGGCGAAGGCGGGUUGCUGGGCUGACACUGACGCUGAAGUGCGAAAGCUAGGGGAGCGAACGGG
rnacentral:rRNA from 1 species